UGGGGAAUUUUGCACAAUGGGGGAAACCCUGAUGCAGCGACGCCGCGUGAUUUAGAAGGCCUUCGGGUUGUAAAAAUCUUUUCUAUGGGAAGAAAAUGACAGUACCAUAGGAAUAAGGACCGGCUAAUUACGUGCCAGCAGCCGCGGUAAUACGUAAGGUCCGUGCGUUGUCCGGAAUCAUUGGGCGUAAAGGGUACGUAGGCGGGUAAGCAAGUUAGAAGUGAAAUCCUAUAGCUCAACUAUAGUAAGCUUUUAAAACUGCUCAUCUUGAGGUAUGGAAGGGAAAGUGGAAUUCCUAGUGUAGCGGUGAAAUGCGCAGAUAUUAGGAGGAAUACCGGUGGCGAAGGCGACUUUCUGGCCAUAACCUGACGCUGAGGUACGAAAGCGUGGGUAGCAAACAGG
rnacentral:rRNA from 1 species